UACGUAGGGACCGAGCGUUGUCCGGAAUUAUUGGGCGUAAAGAGCUCGUAGGCGGUCUGUCGCGUCGAUCGUGAAAACUUGGGGCUUAACCCUGAGCUUGCGGUCGAUACGGGCAUGACUGGAGUUCGGCAGGGGAGACUGGAAUUCCUGGUGUAGCGGUGAAAUGCGCAGAUAUCAGGAGGAACACCGGUGGCGAAGGCGGGUCUCUGGGCCGAUACUGACGCUGAGGAGCGAAAGCGUGGGGAGCGAACAGG
rnacentral:rRNA from 1 species